rnacentral:rRNA from 1 species
GAUGAACGCUGGCGGCGUGCCUAAUACAUGCAAGUCGAGCGAACAGACGAGGAGCUUGCUCCUCUGACGUUAGCGGCGGACGGGUGAGUAACACGUGGAUAACCUACCUAUAAGACUGGGAUAACUUCGGGAAACCGGAGCUAAUACCGGAUAAUAUAUUGAACCGCAUGGUUCAAUAGUGAAAGACGAUUUUGCUGUCACUUAUAGAUGGAUCCGCGCCGCAUUAGCUAGUUGGUAAGGUAACGGCUUACCAAGGCAACGAUGCGUAGCCGACCUGAGAGGGUGAUCGGCCACACUGGAACUGAGACACGGUCCAGACUCCUACGGGAGGUAGCAGUAGGGAAUCUUCCGCAAUGGGCGAAAGCCUGACGGAGCAACGCCGCGUGAGUGAUGAAGGUCUUCGGAUCGUAAAACUCUGUUAUUAGGGAAGAACAAAUGUGUAAGUAACUAUGCACGUCUUGACGGUACCUAAUCAGAAAGCCACGGCUAACUACGUG